ACAUGUGAACUCUAACCACCAGUGACUUAGUCCCCACCUCCCCCAUGCUUUUCAUCACACACUUACACACUGCACCUGGGGCCUCUGCUUCCAUCCCACCAUUCGUGAGCCCAUCCAACUCAAGUUCCAUGCUCAGCAUUAACUCAGAAUAGCCAGUACCUGCGCGAGAUAUCUACACUGUAUUUUCCUGCUUCCCAAGCAGUUAGCAAGAUCAUACGACUGAGAAGUGAGAGGAAACUGUGUGUCUGGCCUGGCCUGUCCUCUAAAAACUCCCUGGUUUGACUUCCCAUGCUGCAGUCAAGGCCAGCACUACACCUAGGAAGGCUCCUGCUAAAGACGAAGUACUGCAAUCCAAGCAAAUGUUCCAAUGUGAAGUUUUCAAGAAGUUGGGUCAAAAACAGGGACUAAAAGACAAGCAUCAAGUUGCCCUCGCUCACCAGGAGAUUAACCCAUCAGGCUGCUGAAUGAGAAGGGACAGAGAGGCCCUGACAGGAGGCCUGAGAUGCAGGACAAAUCAAAACCAAUCCACCUGCUUAAGGAAGACUCUCCCAACGACCGCCUCGCUGCGACCUCGCCCUCCUGUGGACAUCUGUGGCAAGUAUUAUCGCAGCCACUGAUGUGGCACUGGGCCAUUUAUGACUGCCUCAUGACACUGUUUUUCAUCAUUGUGUUCGCACUGUUGUUUAACAACUUUGUGUAGUCGUCUAUUCUCACUCCGAAUAAACCGUAGCCCCUGAAGGCAAGUAGC